rnacentral:lncRNA from 1 species
AGCACCUUCAUUUUUGGGAGGACUGUGGAUGAUUAUGAAUGACAGGCUUACUGAAUAUCCUCUUGUAAUUAAUGCAGUAAAACGCUUCCAUAUUUAUCCAGAGGUAAUCAUAGCCUCCUGGUAUCGCACAUUCAUGGGAAUAGUGAAUUUAUUUGGACUAGAAACUAAGACCUGCUGGAAUGUCACCAGAAUAGAACCUCUUAAUGAAGUUCAAAGCUGUGAAGGAUUGCGAGAUCCUGCUUGCUUUUAUGUUGGUGUAAUCUUUAUUUUAAAUGGACUAAUGAUGGGAUUGUUCUUCAUAUAUGGAACAUACCUAAGUGGUACUGAACUGGGAGGUCUUAUUACAGUACUGUGCUUCUUUUUCAACCAUGGAGAGGCCACCUGUGUGAUGUGGACACCACCUCUCCGUGAAAGUUUUUCCUAUCCUUUCCUUGUACUUCAGAUGUAUGUUUUAACUUUGAUUCUCAGGACCUCAAGCAAUGAUAGAAGGCCCUUCAUUGCACUCUGUCUUUCCAAUGUUGCUUUUAUGCUUCCCUGGCAAUUUGCUCAGUUUAUACUUUUUACACAGAUAGCAUCAUUAUUUCCCAUGUAUGUUGUGGGAUACAUUGAACCAAGCAAAUUUCAGAAGAUCAUUUAUAUGAACAUGAUUUCAGUUACCCUUAGUUUCAUUUUGAUGUUUGGAAAUUCAAUGUACUUAUCUUCUUAUUAUUCUUCAUCUUUGUUAAUGACAUGGGGAUUGAUUCCAGGACACCCCCAACCCCUGUGGAUACUAAAAUCUGCAGAUGUUCAAGUUUCUUAUAUAAAAUGGCAAUAAUUCUA